GAUUGCAGAAUAUUAUACUUUGCAUAUACAUUGCAAUUGAUGUUUUCAAAGUUAGCUAUGAUGAUGAGGUAAUUAAUACAAUUAGAAAAGCUCCGGCAAACAAAAAAUAAGUUCAAUUGAAUGAGUUUGAACUAUAAGAACUUAAAAUGUAUUUAAAAUACAAUCGUGGCAAUAACAAUCAAAUUUUUUUAUAAAUUAAUUUAUGUGAAAUUGAUUAGUAUAUCCAUAUUAAUAUUUGUACUAUUUUAGCAUACUCAUCAUAUUGGUAUUUUUCGGUAAUGCAAACUGCACAGUAUGCGUGAUGCAACCAGUUCGAAAAAGCAAAUUUUGCAUAUUUAUCAAAAUUAAAAGUUCGAAAAGCCAAAAGCUCCGUCACAGCUUUGCACAAAAAAGAAGUGGUUGCUGAAAAAAUUAAAAUAGUCCACGAAGAAGUUGCUUCAAGCACCCUUAAGCUUCUUAUUCUUGGAAGAUGAAUUUCCAUGUGGUGAGGUACUCCAAGAAAAAAAAAUUCAACCAGAGAUCAACCACCACAGGGAAAUUAUUUCCGUGACCUUUUUAAAUGUGCUGACUACCUAUGAGAGAACGAAUACAUUUAGUAGUUUUAAAGUUUGAUUGAAGUGUUAUUUUUUAAAUAAGUAUAUUAUGGUAUAUAAAAGAAGAGCUUAAAAAUUGAUCGCCAUCAAUAAAUUUUUCACUUUUGAACGGUUCAUCCUCUGUUCGUGACUCAUUAAGAGAAA